rnacentral:rRNA from 1 species
AUGACACACUAUGUGCUGCUCCUCUGUUCCUUCGAGGAACAGCUCCAGCAGCAUGUGCGUGUCCACGCCAUGGAGGCGGUGAUGGCCUGCUGGGAGCUCGAGCAAACUCUGCAGAGUCUUACAGGGGCAUCUCCUGGUGAAGGCACCGGGGCAACUAUGUCCGAUGACGAAGACAAUCCGGUCGACAGUGAGAGCAACAUGUUUGACGGGAAUGAUGUGUCAGAUGGCAUGGGCUUCGGAAUGCUAACCGAGGGUGAGAGAUCCUUGGUCGAGCGCGUGAGGCAAGAGCUGAAGCAUGAGCUUAAACAGGGGUAUAGAGAAAAGCUUGUGGACAUCAGGGAGGAGAUACUGCGGAAGCGAAGAGCCGGAAAGCUCCCAGGGGACACGGCGUCUACCCUGAAAGCUUGGUGGCAAGCCCACGCCAAAUGGCCGUACCCAACUGAGGAGGACAAGGCGCGGCUGGUGCAGGAGACGGGGCUGCAGCUGAAGCAGAUCAACAACUGGUUCAUCAACCAGCGCAAGCGGAACUAG